CCUACGGGAGGCAGCAGUAGGGAAUUUUCCGCAAUGGGCGAAGGCCUGACGGAGCAAUACCGCGUGAGGGAUGACGGCCUGUGGGUUGUAAACCUCUUUUCUCAAGGAAGAAGUCUGACGGUACUUGAGGAAUAAGCAUCGGCUAACUCUGUGCCAGCAGCCGCGGUAAUACAGAGGAUGCAAGCGUUAUCCGGAAUCACUGGGCAUAAAGCGUCUGUAGGUUGUUUAGUAAGUCUGCUGUUAAAGACUGGGGCUUAACCCCAGAAAAGCAGUGGAAACUGCUAGACUCGAGUGUGGUAGAGGUAGAGGGAAUUCCUAGUGUAGCGGUGAAAUGCGUAGAUAUUAGGAAGAACACCAAUGGCGAAGGCACUCUACUGGGCCAUAACUGACACUGAGAGACGACAGCUAGGGGAGCAAACGGGAUUAGAUACCCCGGUAGUCCUAGCCGUAAACGAUGGAUACUAGAUGUUGCACGUAUUAACCCGUGCAGUAUCGUAGCUAAGGCGUUAAGUAUCCCGCCUGGGAAGUACGCUCGCAAGAGUGAGACUCAAAUGAAUUGACGG
rnacentral:rRNA from 1 species